AAGUCAGUACUAAGUGGGUACUGUACAUGGUAAGAAGCAGUCCUCAUCGUGGAGAAUCUUAAAUGUAAGGAGGACUUCUUUCCUCUCUCUACUUGCUUGUGCUGCCAACUGCUGCAUCUCAUAGUCGGGAAAGAACAGAGCAUGAAACUGUAAAGACACCCUUCAAGCUGGAACCUUCAACAUUUCAGCAUGAACCUCUGGGACUGCUACUCUAGAGUAAUUUGUAAAAUGUAAAAUGGUUUCGGUGCUUUAUCGAUG